CUCAUUCUUCAUUCCAGACAGCCUCUCCUGGGAGAGCAAGCAGCCCAGAGCCAACCACAACAAAGAAGCACCAGUUACCUUCCUUAAAAGAAAUUCCUGGAUAAUGUGGAUGAGAACGGAGGCUAACAGAAAGAUGUUUGGUGUGAUAAAUCUCCUGAAAAGAACCUGAUGCUGGCCAGCACCCCAGCAUCACUCUUCCUGGAAGCCCAAGAAAUCACAGUUUCUGGAAUCAAAAAGUACAAAGAGUACCGAGGGCCACCAUCAAGUGAGCAGCCCAACCUAUUCUCCCUGACAUGAUGAGUGCAGAACCAGUGGUCGUAGAUUAAACUCUCUGAAACUUUAUUAAUUCUGUUGCCAUCUGUUUCAAAGCCAGUAAAGGACAAAGGAUAAAUGUUUACCUUUCAAGGAACAAAAGAGACAGCUCCCUACAGACCUUCUGUUGCCCACGUCUUAUCACUGU
rnacentral:lncRNA from 1 species